rnacentral:rRNA from 1 species
CCUACGGGGGGCAGCAGUGAGGAAUAUUGGUCAAUGGACGAGAGUCUGAACCAGCCAAGUAGCGUGAAGGAUGACUGCCCUAUGGGUUGUAAACUUCUUUUAUAUGGGAAUAAAAUGUUCCACGUGUGGGAUUUUGUAUGUAUCAUAUGAAUAAGGAUCGGCUAACUCCGUGCCAGCAGCCGCGGUAAUCCGGAGGAUUCGAGCGUUAUCCGGAUUUAUUGGGUUUAAAGGGAGCGUAGGUGGGUUGUUAAGUUAGUUGUGAAAGUUUGCGGCUCAACUGUGGAAUUGCGGUUGAAACUGGUCGGCUUGAGAGGAGGAGAGGUAGGCGGAAUGUGUGGUGUAGCGGUGAAAUGCAGAGAGAGCAGGAAGAACACCGAUGGCGAAGGCAGCUUACCGGCUUACAACGGACGCUGAGGCACGAAAGCGUGGGGAGCAAACAGGAUUAGAUACCCUGGUAGUC